UAAACCAGUUACCUACAGCUGAUGAGCUCCAAGAAGAGUGAAACCAGUUCAGUUCUGUUUUAGCAGUUAUGAAGCAUAAGGACUGGUCCUGUAGUACUGUCCAGCAUCA
rnacentral:hammerhead_ribozyme from 2 species